GUACACUCCUGCGGGAGGCAGCAGUGGGGAAUUUUGGACAAUGGGCGAAAGCCUGAUCCAGCAAUGCCGCGUGUGUGAAGAAGGCCUUCGGGUUGUAAAGCACUUUUGUCCGGAAAGAAAUCCUUGGCUCUAAUACAGUCGGGGGAUGACGGUACCGGAAGAAUAAGCACCGGCUAACUACGUGCCAGCAGCCGCGGUAAUACGUAGGGUGCGAGCGUUAAUCGGAAUUACUGGGCGUAAAGCGUGCGCAGGCGGUUUGCUAAGACCGAUGUGAAAUCCCCGGGCUCAACCUGGGAACUGCAUUGGUGACUGGCAGGCUAGAGUAUGGCAGAGGGGGGUAGAAUUCCACGUGUAGCAGUGAAAUGCGUAGAGAUGUGGAGGAAUACCGAUGGCGAAGGCAGCCCCCUGGGCCAAUACUGACGCUCAUGCACGAAAGCGUGGGGAGCAAACAGGAUUAGAAACCCUAGUAGUCCCAUGA
rnacentral:rRNA from 1 species